rnacentral:rRNA from 1 species
GUGGAUUAGAUACCCUGGUAGUCCACGCCGUAAACGAUGAUCACUCGAUGUUGGCGAUACACAGUCAGCGUCUUAGGGAAACUAUUAAGUGAUCCACCUGGGGAGUACGGUCGCAAGAUUGAAACUCAAAGGAAUUGACGGGGGCCCGCACAAGCGGAGGAGCAUGUGGUUUAAUUCGAUGAUACGCGAGGAACCUUACCUGGGCUCGAACGUGGAAUGACAGUCGCGGAAACGUGAUCUUCUUCGGACAUUCUACGAGGUGCUGCACGGCCGUCGUCAACU